rnacentral:tRNA from 1 species
GCGGAUGUGGCGAAAUUGGUAGACGCACCAGAUUUAGGUUCUGGCGCUUUAAGCGUAGGGGUUCGAGUCCCCUCAUCCGCACCA